rnacentral:rRNA from 3 species
GUGUUGCAUGGCUGUCGUCAGCUCGUGUCGUGAGAUGUUGGGUUAAGUCCCGCAACGAGCGCAACCCUCAUCCUUAGUUACCAUCAGGUAAUGCUGGGGACUUUAAGGAAACUGCCAGUGAUAAACUGGAGGAAGGUGGGGAUGAUGUCAAGUCAUCAUGGCCCUUAUGGAGUGGGCUACACACGUGCUACAAUGGUGGCUACAAUGGGCUGCAAAGUCGCGAGGCUAAGCCAAUCCCUUAAAAGCCAUCUCAGUUCGGAUUGUACUCUGCAACUCGAGUGCAUGAAGUUGGAAUCGCUAGUAAUCGUGGAUCAGCAUGCCACGGUGAAUACGUUCUCGGGUCUUGUACACACUGCCCGUCACGCCAUGGGAAUUGGUUUC